rnacentral:misc_RNA from 1 species
UUUCUUUUUUUUUUUUUCUUUCUUUUUUCUUUUUUUAAUUCAACCAUUUCCUUCCUUUUUUCUGGUCUUUUCAAGUGGUUACAGCACCCAUUUAAUUCGAGUUUUUUGUGGUUUCUCCCCAUAUUAUUAUUAUUAAUAAAAAAGCCUAACCUUUAGGACGUACGUGUACAUCUGCUGUAUUAAAAGAAUUUUUAUACUCUAAAGUUGAACUUAUU